rnacentral:lncRNA from 1 species
GCAGAAGCUCUGCCAUGCAGGAUGAAUAGCUGACAAACAACAAAACCAUGAAAGGAUGAAAGAUGAGAGGGUGAGUGUCAAAAAUGCUUUGCUGCAAAAGAGCCAUUGGAGAACGUGCAACCAAAUGGAGAAGAGUGAAAGUGAUGAUUGGGCGUUUAGAAAAUCUACCUGAAUGAAUGAAUGAGGAGAGAAGUGAUGGAGUGAAUGAGCGUGGUGUGGAGAGACAAGGCUGCUCCCUGUGGGCUAUGCGGCUAAAUCUAUUGAGCUUGAUUGUGACCGAUGUAUGAAAGCAGAAACUCCAGGUUUGCGUGGUCAAGGGAUCAUUGAGCUAUAGAGGGGCAGAGAAGAGUUUAGGGUCUAGUACUAAUAGAGCAUGAAUGAAUACAGAAGAGGCCGGGCCACUGUGAAAAACAAAGAGUGAGAAAAUGUGAGAUUGCUGGUACGAAAGGUCAAAAGUGUGAGGUGAAGGUGGAAAUGCUCUGGAGUGAGAGGUGCCUGGGUAAAGAUAUCUGUCAAUACACCCAAAUGAGAAAGCAGAAUGGGAAACAUUAAAGGAUGGGCUGCUGAGCAAAGGGAGAAAACAAAGAUUUUAGAAGACAAGGAGAUAGAGUGGCUCUAGGGAACCACCGAGGUAGAGACAGGGACAUAUUGAUAGGACUAGUGAGAUCUGGCUGCUAUAAAUACCACCUGAGCAUCAGACAUUUGUGUGAAAUAAGAUGUUGAAUGGGACUUGGAUGUGUAGAACAAGGUUAACUGUGUGUGAUGGAUAAUGGGCCAUAUCCAGAAUAUGAGAGAUGAGUGGCUAAAGAGAAAGAGAGAGCGAACUGUGAAUUCCAGAUGGGGUGAAGGUGAGAAUGUGAGACAGAGGCCGAAAGACAGGAGUGAAAGGAGAGACCCAACCUCUGAUACUUAAGGGAACAGUCAAAUUCCAAUAAAACAUAAGCAUGAAUGGAGCGAGGAAUGCAAUGUGAGAUGACUGAAUGUGGGAGCACGAAAGACAGUAGAAUGAUCUGUGAGACUGCAUGACAGAAAAACAUUGGGAGAAGAACAGUGAGAAAGGGGAAAUGAAUGAGAACACACGUUAACAGACUCACAGGUAUAGAAAAGGAGAUAUAUCUGCAGGGGAUCCCAAUGGGUACUUAGAAUAAAGGAAGUAGAUUGUGGUCAUAUACAGGUAGCAAAAGUCAAGACACUUAGAAGAGAACCCAAGAGUUAAAUCAAUGGAGAAAGAGGGAAAGAUAACACUGGAUAGCAAGUGAGUAAGAGAUAUCUAGAAAUGGAGACAUAUCGAAUGUAAGAUUUGUAGCUGCAGAUCGUGAGACAGUGAGGUGAGUAGGAAAGCCCAAGAAAUCAAGUGGGAAAGGUGGAGAAAAUAGAGAUUACAGGGACUGUGAAAAAGUCUCGAUGCUGAAUUGGGAGGGAAAGACUCAGGGUCCUAGAGGAAGGUGAAUCAAGAGCAGUUUGAGAGAUGACUGUGUCCUAGGAAACAUCCCUGAUGGAGAGAGAAGGCCCAGACAGAUGGAAAGGAACAAGUGGGACAAGUAUAGAAACAGACAUUGAGGGAUGAAUUGAUAUACUGGGAGGUCAGAAUUGAAUGGAUAAAGAGAGGUAGGAAGAGGAGAGGAGCUUAAGAAAAUAAGAGAGUGAGAGGAUGAAGAUGGGUGACCGAAUGUCAGACACAAAAGAAUGAAUGGAGAGACCCAAACUCUGAUACAUGAGUGACUGUCAAAUCUUGUUGAGAAAGAAUGCAUGAAUGACAUGGGAUAUUCAGUGUGAGAUGGCUGAACUGAGGAGACAAAUGCAAAGAAAAACGGUUGGCCAGAUUGCCUGAGAGAGGGAGAAAGGAAUCCAUGUUAAGGCGUAGACUGGGGGAAAUGGAUGAAAUAGAUACUCGAGUGAUGUGAAAAGAAUGGGUAAAGAGGUAUAAGGAGCUAAGAAACCUGAAUGUCUAGAACUCAGAGAAAGAAAAGAAAAGCAAAAGAGAUGUGGACACUGAGAGAAAUCCAACUAGAGAUAGUGAGAAAUAGGAGAUGGAUGGAGAAAGACAUCAAAAGCAUGAGAAAUGUAUGAAGGGAGUGAGUGAUGUGUGGAAAUAACCCUGUCACGCACAGAAAAGAUAUUUGGCUAGAAAUAAGUGUGCUUUGCUGUGUGUGUGUGUGGGGGGGGGUGGUAUGUGCUUGUGUGUGUAUGCAUAUGUGUCUGUGCGUGGGUGUGGGUAUGUGCGUGCGUGUGUAUGAAAGCAGAAGCCUAAGCCAUGCAGGAUGAAUAGCUGACAAACAACAAAACCAUGAAAGGAUGAAAGAUGAGAGGGUGAGUGUCAAAAAUGCUUCGCUGCAAAAGAGCCAUUGGAGAACGUGCAAUGUAAAUGGUGAAGAGUGAAAGUGAUGAUUGGGCGUUUAGAAAAUCUACCUGAAUGAAUGAAUGAGGAGAGAAGUGAUGGAGUGAAUGAGCGUGGUGUGGAGAGACAAGGCUGCUCCCUGUGGGCUAUGCGGCUAAAUCUAUUGAGCUUGAUUGUGACCGAUGUAUGAAAGCAGAAACUCCAGGUUUGUGUGGUCAAGGGAUCAUUGAGCUAUAGAGGGGCAGAGAAGAGUUUAGGGUCUAGUACUAAUAGAGCAUGAAUGAAUACAGAAGAGGCCGGGCCACUGUGAAAAACAAAGAGUGAGAAAAUGUGAGAUUGCUGGUACGAAAGGUCAAAAGUGUGAGAUGUGUGAAGGUGGAAAUGCUCUGGAGUGAGAGGUGCCUGGGUAAAGAUAUCUGUCAAUACACCCAAAAUGAGAAAGCAGAAUGGGAAACAUUAAAGGAUGGGCUGCUGAGCAAAGGGAGAAAACAAAGAUUUUAGAAGACAAGGAGAUAGAGUGGCUCUAGGGAACCACCGAGGUAGAGACAGGGACAUAUUGAUAGGACUAGUGAGAUCUGGCUGCUAUAAACACCACCUGAGCAUCAGACAUUUGUGUGAAAUAAGAUGUUGAAUGGGACUUGGAUGUGUAGAACAAGGUUAACUGUGUGUGAUGGAUAAUGGGCCAUAUCCAGAAUAUGAGAGAUGAGUGGCUAAAGAGAAAGAGAGAGCGAACUGUGAAUUCCAGAUGGGGUGAAGGUGAGAAUGUGAGACAGAGGCCGAAAGACAGGAGUGAAAGGAGAGACCCAACCUCUGAUACUUAAGGGAACAGUCAAAUUCCAAUAAAACAUAAGCAUGAAUGGAGCGAGGAAUGCAAUGUGAGAUGACUGAAUGUGGGAGCACGAAAGACAGUAGAAUGAUCUGUGAGACUGCAUGACAGAAAAACAUUGGGAGAAGAACAGUGAGAGAAGGGGAAAUGAAUGAGAACACACGUUAACAGACUCAAAGGUAUAGAAAAGGAGAUAUAUCUGCAGGGGAUCCCAAUGGGUACUUAGAAUAAAGGAAGUAGAUUGUGGUCAUAUACAGGUAGCAAAAGUCAAGACACUAUUAGAAGAGAACCCAAGAGUUAAAUCAAUGGAAAGAGGGAAAGAUAACACUGGAUAGCAAAAGUGGUAGAUAUCUAGAAAUGGAGACAUAUCGAAUGUAAGAUUUGUAGCUGCAGAUCGUGAGACAGUGAGGUGAGUAGGAAAGCCCAAGAAAUCAAGUGGGAAAGGUGGAGAAAAUAGAGAUUACAGGGACUGUGAAAAAGUCUCGAUGCUGAAUUGGGAGGGAAAGACUCAGGGUCCUAGAGGAAGGUGAAUCAAGAGCAGUUUGAGAGAUGACUGUGUCCUAGGAAACAUCCCUGAUGGAGAGAGAAGGCCCAGACAGAUGGAAAGGAACAAGUGGGACAAGUAUAGAAACAGACAUUGAGGGAUGGAUUGAUAUACUGGGAGGUCAGAAUUGAAUGGAUAAAGAGAGGUAGGAAGAGGAGAGGAGCUUAAGAAAAUAAGAGAGUGAGAGGAUGAAGAUGGGUGACCGAAUGUCAGACACAAAAGAAUGAAUGGAGAGACCCAAACUCUGAUACAUGAGUGACUGUCAAAUCUUGUUGAGAAAGAAUGCAUGAAUGACAUGGGAUAUUCAGUGUGAGAUGGCUGAACUGAGGAGCACAGGGAAGAGAAGCAAAACUGAGGAGACAAAUGCAAAGAAAAACAGUUAUUCAGAUUGCCCGAGAGAGGGAGAAAGUAAUCCAUGUUAAGGCGUAGACUGGGGUAAUGGAUGAAAUAGAUACUGGAGUGCUGUGAAAAGAAUGGGUAAAGAGGUAUAAGGAGCUAAGAAACCUGAAUGUCUAGAACUCAGAGAAAGAAAGCAAAAGAGAUGUGGACACUGAGAGAAAUCCAACUAGAGAUAGUGAGAAAUAGGAGAUGGAUGGAGAAAGACAUCAAAAGUAUGAGAAAUGUAUGAAAAGAGAGAGCAAGAGAGUGAGUGAUGUGUGGAAAUAGCCCUGUCACGCACAGAAAAGAUAUUUGGCUGGAAAUAAGUGUGCUUUGCUGUGUGUGUGUGUGUGUGGGGGGGUGGUAUAUGCGUGUGUGUGUAUGCCUAUGUGUCUGUGCGUGUGUUCGUGCACGUGCGUGUGUGGGUAUGUGCGUGCGUGUGUGUGCAUGUGCGUGUAUGUGUAUGAAAGCAGAAGCCUAAGCCAUGCAGGAUGAAUAGCUGACAAACAACUAAACCAUGAAAGGAUGAAAGAUGAGAGGGUGAGUGUCAAAAAUGCUUCGCUGCACAAGAGCCAUUGGAGAACGUGCAAGAAAAUGGUGAAGAGUGAAAGUGAUGAUUGGGCGUUUAGAAAAUCUACCUGAAUGAAUGAAUGAGGAGAGAAGUGAUGGAGUGAAUGAGCGUGGUGUGGAGAGACAAGGCUGCUCCCUGUGGGCUAUGCGGCUAAAUCUAUUGAGCUUGAUUGUGACCGAUGUAUGAAAGCAGAAACUCCAGGUUUGUGUGGUCAAGGGAUCAUUGAGCUAUAGAGGGGCAGAGAAGAGUUUAGGGUCUAGUACUAAUAGAGCAUGAAUGAAUACAGAAGAGGCCGGGCCACUGUGAAAAACAAAGAGUGAGAAAAUGUGAGAUUGCUGGUACGAAAGGUCAAAAGUGUGAGAUGUGUGAAGGUGGAAAUGCUCUGGAGUGAGAGGUGCCUGGGUAAAGAUAUCUGUCAAUACACCAAAAUGAGAAAGCAGAAUGGGAAACAAUCAAGGAUGGGCUGCUGAGCAAAGGGAGAAAGCCAAGAUUUUAGAAGACAAGGAGAUAGAGGGGCUCUAGAGAACCACUGAGGUAGAAACAGGUACAUGUGGAUAGGGACUAGUGAGAUCUGGCUGCUACAAAUAUCACUGGAGUAUCAGAAACUUGUGUUCAAUAAGAUGUUGGGCCUUUGUAUGGGUAGAGCAAGGUUAACUGUGUGUGAUAGAUAACUGGCUAUAUACAGAAGAUGAGAGGUGAGUUGCUAAAGAGAAAGAGAGAGGAGAAUAGACUGAGAAAUCCAGAUGGGGCAAAGGUGAGAAUGUGAGACCCAGAGACCACAAAGAGAGGAGUGAAAGAAGAGACCCAACCUCUGAUACUUGAGGGGACAGUCAAAUUCCAAUAAGAAAAAGAGUGAGUGAAAAGAGAAGGCAAUGUGAGGUGAUUGAAUGGGAGAGCAUGAAAGAAAGGAACAAUGACUGAUGAGAAUGAUUGAAUGAGAAACAUUGGGAGAACACAGAGAAGGAGAAAUGAAUGGGAAGACAAAUCAAUAGAGUGAAAGGUUUAGAAAAAGAUACGUCAGCAGGGGAACAUAGUGGAUCUGAAGACUGAACCAGGUAGAUUUUGUUGUUAUUCAGCUAGAGAAAUGCAAGCUACUAGUAGAAGAGGAUCCAAGACUGAAAGAGUUGGAUAAAUGGGGAAAGAGGAAAAGGGAGUCAGAGUUACAUGAAAAUGGAGAUGUACUGAGAGUUUUGUAGGUUAUGAUUGUGAGACAGAAAGGGGGGCUGGAAAGCCUAUGAAAUAAAGUAUGGAAGGUGGAGAAAAGAGAGAUAGCCAAGGUUGCGAAAAGAUCAGAAUGUCAUAAAAAAAGGAGCAGGGAAAGCUCAGGGAGAAGGAGCUGAAGCAAAAGCCAUAUGAGAAAUGAUUGUAUCCUAGGGAAAAAGAGAGGAGGGAGGGAGAGGGAGAGAGAGAGAGAGAGAGAGAGAGAGAGAGAGAGAGAGAGAGAGAGAAAGAAAGCCUUGACUGAUAGAAGGGAACAAGUGGGACAUGUAUGCAUACAGAUAUUGAGGGAGGAAUGGAUAUCCUGGGGUGUUGAAAUUCAAUGGAUGAAGAGAAAUUAGGAGAGGAGAGUGGAGUGAGAACAUGAGAGAGUGAGAAGAAGAAGAUGGGUGACUGAAUGGUAGGACCAAAGAAUGAAUGGAGAGACCCAAACUCUGAUAAAUGAAUCUGUCAAAUCUCAAUGAGAAAGAAUGCAUGAAUAGCAGGAAGGAUGCAGUGUGAGAUGCUUGAAGUAAGGAGCACAAGGACAAGAAAUAAAACUGAGGAACCAAAUGCAAGGAGAAAUAAUUACUAGGGUGCCUGAGACAGAGAGAAAGGAAUACGUGAUGAGAUCUAGACUAUGGAAUUUAGACUCUUCAGACAGAAAAGAAAGGACAGAGAUCAAGACAGUGAUAGAGAGGGGUCUGAAUGGAAACAGUGAGAAAUGAGAGAUGGAUGGAUGGAGACACAAAAAGAAUCUGCACUGUAUUAAAAGAGAGCAAAGAGUGAGUGAUGUACUGAAAGAGAGCCAUAUAUAAGAGACACUUAUUUGGAAAUACCUAUUUUGCACUGAGUGUGUGUGAAAGCAGAAGCCAUAGUAAUGAAGGCUGGAUUCCUGAAAAAAAUAUCUAAACCUUGAAAGGAGGAGAGGUUGAGGUGGCGACAGUCAAGUAUUCUAUGCUGCUAAAGAGCCACUAGAGAACAUGCAAGAAAAUAGUAUAGAGUGAAAGUGAUGAUUGCCUGUUUGCAAAAUCUACCUGAAGGAGUGAAGGAUGAGAGAAGUGAUGGACUGAAUGGUCAUGAUGUGGAGAAACAACACUGCUCCCUGUGGGCUAUGCGGCUAAAUCUAGUGAGCUGGAGUGUGACUGAUGUAUGAAAGGAGAAACUCCAGGUUUGUGUGGUCAAGGGAUCAUCCAGCUGCAGAAGGGCAGACAGUAGUUUAGGUCUAGUAUUAAUACAGCAUGAAUGAAUACAGAAGAGGCCAGGCCACUGUGAAAAAAAUUAAAUGUGUGAGAAAAUGUGAGAUUGUUGGUAUAAAAGGUCAAGCAAGUGAGAAAUGUGAGGAUGGAAAUGCUCUGGAGUGAGAGAUGCCUGGGCAGAGAUUUCUGUCAAUUUAACAAAGUCAGAAGGCAACAUGGAAAGUAAUAAAGGAUGAGCUGCUAAGCAAAGGGCUAAAGCCAAGAUUUCAGAAGACAAGGACAUAGAGUGACUCUAGGGAACCACUGAGGUAGAGACAGGUGUAUGUAGAGACUAGUGAGGGACUAGUGAGAUCUGGCUGCUAGAAAUAACACUAGAGAGUCAGAAACUAGUGUUCAAAAUAAGAUGUUGGCCUUUGUAUGUGUAGAGCAAAGUUAACUGUGUGUGAUGGGUAACUGGCUAUAUACAGAUGAGAGAUGAGUGGCUAAAGAGAAAGAGAGAGAAUGGACUGAGAAAUGCAGAUGGGGCGAAAGUGAGAAUGUGAGACCCAAAGACCACAAAGAGAGGAGUGAAAGGAGAGACCCAACCUCUGAUACUUGUGGGGACAGUCAAAUUCCAAUAAGAAAAAGGAUGAGUGGAAAGAGAAGGUAACGUGAGGUGACUGAAUGGGGGAGCAGCAAAGAAAGGAAGUAUGCUUAGUGAGACUGGAUGAAAGAGAAACAUUUGGAGAAGAACACAGAAAAGGGGAAAUAAUUGACAAGACAAGUUAACAGAGUCAAAAGUAUAGAAAAGGAGAUAUUUCUGCACAGGAGCCCAAUGAAUACUUAGAAUAAAAGAGAUAGAUGAUUCUGAUAUUCAGAAAGGAAAAGGCAAGAUAGUAGGAAAAGAGGAGCCAGAACUGAAAGAAUACAAUGAACGCAGAAAGAGGGAAAGAAAACACUAGAUGGACAGAGCUGGAAAGUGAGCGAGAGAGAGAUUAUAAUAGAGAUGUACUCAAUGAAAGAUUUGUUGUUGCAGAUCAUGACACAGUUAAGUGGUUUGGAAAGCCAAAGAAGUAAAGUAGAGAAUGUGGAAAAAUAGAGAUAGCUGAGCAUGUGAGAAGAUGAAAAUAGUGAAGAUUCAAUACUAGCAAGGAUAAGAUCAGGGAGAGGAAGCUGAAUCAAUAGCAGUAUGAGACAGGACUGUGUCCUAGGGAAAAUCCCUGAGGGAGAGAGGAGGUCUAGACAGAUUAAGGGAACAAGUGGGACAAGUACACAUAAAGAAAUUGAGGGAUGAAUGGAUAUACUGUGAGGAGAGAAUUGAAUGGAUGAAGAGAAUUAGGAAAAGGAGAGGAGAGUAAGAAAAGGAGAGAGAAAAUAAGAGUCAGAGGAUGAAGAUGGGUGACCAAAUGGCAGACAGAAAAGAAUGAAUGGAGAGACCCAAACUCUGAUACAUGAGUGACUGUCAAAUCUUGUUGAGAAGGAACGUAUGAAUGGCAAGAAAUUUGUGGUGAGAGAUGGCUGAAUGGAGGAGCACAGGGAGGAGAAGCAAAACUGAGGAGACGCAUGCAAAGAGUAAUAGUUAGACACAGUGACUGAGAGAGGGAGAAAGGAAUCCAUGUUGAGACCUAGACUGGGGGAAAUGGAUGAAAUAGACACUCAAGUGAUGUGAACGGAAUCAAUAAAGAGGUAUAAGCAGCUGAGAAACUAGAAUGUCUAGAACUCAGAGACAAAAAACAAAGGCAUGAGAGACCUAGACAGUGAGAGAGAUCCAAAUGGAGAGAGACACCAAAAGAGUGAGCACUAUGUGGAAAGAGACAGCAAGAGAGUGUGUGAUAUAUGGAAAUAACCCUGUACGCACAAAAGAAAUAUUUGACUGGUAAUAAGUAUGCUUUGCAGUGUGCGUGUGGAAGCAGAAGCCAUAGCUAUGAAGGAUGAAUAACUGAAAAACAGGAAAACAAUGAAAGGAUGAAAGGUGAGAGGAUGAGAGUCAAGUUUACCAUGCUGCUAAAAAGCCAUUGAAGAACUUACAAGAAAAUGGUGAAGAGUAAAAGUUAUGAUUGGCUGUUUGCAAACUCUACCUGAAAGAGUGAAGGAUGAGAGAAGUGAUGGACUAAAUGGGCAUGAUGUGGAGAAACAACACUGCUCCCUGUGUGCUAUGCGGCUAAAUCUAGUGAGCCUGAUUCUGACUGAUGUAUGCAAGGAGAAACUUCAUGUUUGUGUGGUCAAGGGAGCAUCAAGCUGUAGAGGGGCAGAGAAGAGUUUAGGUCUAGUACUAAUAGAGCAUGAAAGAAUACAGAAGAGGCUGGGCCACUGUGAAAACAAAAAGAGUAAAAAAUUUGGGGAUGAAUGGAUAUACUGGGAGGUCAGAAUUGAAUGGAUAGAGAAGUUGGGAGAGGAGAGUGCAGUGAGCAAGUGAGAGUGAGGGAAUGAGGAUGGGUGACUGAAUGGCAGUACAAAGAAUGAUUGGAGAGACCCAAACUCUGAUACAUGAGUGACUGUCAAAUCUUGUGAGAAAGAACACAUGAAUGGCAUAGUGCAUGCAGUGUGAUAUGGCUGAAUUGAGGAGCACUGGGAGGAGAAGUAAAACUAAGGAGCCACAUGCAAAGAGAAAUAGCCACAGUGACUGAGAAAGGGAGACAGGAAUCUAUGUUGAUGCCUAGACUAUGGGAAAUGGAUGAAUUUAGACACUUGAGAGAUAUGCAAGGAAUAGGAAAAGAGAUAUAAAGAACUGUGAACCAUGAAUGUUUAAAACUCAGAAAGGAAAAAGGAAGAUGAACCUAGAAAUUUAGAGGGGGUCUGAAUGGAGACAGUGAGAAAUAAGAAAUGGAUAGAGAGAGACACACACAAAAAGAAUGAGCAGUAUUUUUGGAAAGAGAGAGCAAGAGAGUGUAUAAUGUAUUGAAAGAGACUUGUACGCAAGCAAGAGAUACUUGGGUGGAAAUAUCUGUACGUGGCAGUGUGUGUGUGAAAGCAGGAACCAAAGCCAUGAAGGAUGAUUAGCUGCAAAAUUUCAAAACCAUGAAAGGAUGAAAGGUGAGAGGGUGAUAGACAAGCUUACCUCACUGCUAAAGAGCCAUUGGAGAACAUGUACGUAUAUGGUGAAGAGUGGAAGUGAUAAUUGGCUAUUUGCAAAAUCUAAAAGAAGGAGUGAAGGAUGAGAGAAGUGAUGUACUGAAUGAAUAUAGUGUGGAGGGAUAAAGCUGUCCCCUGGAGGCUGUGUGGCUAAAUCUAGCACGCUCAGUUGUGUCCAAUGUAUGAAAGGAGAAACUUCAUGUUUGUGUGGUCAAGGAAUCAUCAAGCUGUAGAGGGGCAGAAAAGAGUUUAGGUCUAGUACUAAUAGAGUAUGAAUGGAUACAGAAGAGGCCGGGCCAUUGUGAAAAAAAAACGAGUGAAAAAAUAAGAGAGUGAAAUGAUGAGAUUGGGUGACUGAAUGGCAGAAUAAAAGAAUGAAUGGAGAGACCCAAACUCUGAUGCAUGAGUGACUAUCAAAUCUCAAUUAGAAGGAAUGGCAAGGAGUAUGUGUUGUGAGAUGAACGUUUUUUACAUUGUGAAAACAAGAAAAUGAGUGAGAAAAUGUGAGUCUGUUGGUAUGAAAGUUCAAGACAAUGAGAGUUGAGUGGCUAAAGAGAAAGACAGAGAAAAGUGGAGUGAGAAAUCCCGAUGGGGUGAAUGUGAGAAUGUGACACACAGAGACCAGAAAGACAGCAGUGAAAGGAGACCCAACCUCUGAUACUUGAAGGAAUAGUCAAAUUUCAAUAAGAAAAAGGAGUGAAUGGUAAGAGGCAUGUAAGGAGAAAUGACUGAAUUUGAAAGCACAAAAGAAAGGAAGAACGACUGGUGAGAUUGAAUAAAAGAGAAAUAUUUGGAGAGGGACAGUGAGGGAAGGAGAAAUGAAUGGAAAGGCAAGUCAACUGAGUGAAAGGUUUAGAAAAAGAGAUAUAUCAGCAGGGGAACAUAAUGGAUCUGAAGACAAAAAGAGGUAGAUGGUGUUGAUAUUCAGGUAGGAAAAGGCAAGCUAUUAGUAGAAGAGGACCCAAGACAAAAGAAUUGGAUAAAUGGGGAAAGAGGCAAAUGCAGUGAGGGUUAUAUAGAAAUGGAGAUGAAUUGAAUAAAAGAUUUAUAGCUGCAGAUCAGGACACAAUGAAGUGGGUUGGAAAGCCUAAAAAGUAAAGUAGAGAAGGUGGAGAAAUAGAGAUAGCUGAGCCUGUGAGAAGAUGAAGAUGCUGAAGAUUUAAUAAACAAUACUAGGAGGCAUAAACUCAGGGAGAGGAAGCUGAACCAAGAACAAUAUGAGAUAUCAUUGUGUCCUAGGAAAAUCCCUGAGUAUGAGAGAAAGUGUAGAGAGAUAGAAGGGAACCAAAUGUGACAAGCAUACAUACAGAAAUUGAGGGAUGAAUGGAUAUACUGGGAGGUCAGAACUAAAUGGAUGGAGAAAUUGUGAGAGGAGAGUUGAGUGAGAAAAUGAAAGUGAGAGGAUAAGAAUGGGUGACUGAAUGGCAGAAUAAAAGAAUGAAUGGAGAGACCCAAACUCUGAUAUAUGAGGGACUGUCAAAUCUCAAUGAGAAGGAAUGCAUGAAUGGUAAGGAAUAUGUAGUGUGAGAUGGAUGAACUGAGGAGCACAAGGAAGCAAAAUCUGUAGUUAGCCAGGGUGCCUGAGCGAGAGAUAUAAGUGUACGUGUUGAGACCUUGACUGUGGGAGAUGGAUGAAUUCAGACACUUGGGUGAUGUGAAAGGAAUGAGUAAAGAGAUAUCAGAAGCUGAGAAACAUGAAGGUCAAAAAGUCAGAAACUGAAAAGAAAGGGAAGAGAGACCUAGACAGCUGGAUGAAUCCAAGUGGAGAGAGAGAGAAAUAAGAGACGGAUGGAGUGAGGCACAAAAAGUGUGAGCAUUGUAUGGAAAGAGACAGCAAGAGUGUGAGUAAUAUAUGGAACGAGACAGCAAGAGAAUGCAUAAUGUAUUGAAAGCAAUGUAUGCAUGUAAGAGAAACGUGGCUGCAAAUACCUGUACUUUGCUGUGUGUGUGUGUGUGUGUGUGUGUGUAAGAAGUUUAUCUAUGAAUUCUUGAAAAAAUAACAAGGCCUUCAAAGGAUAAGAAGUGAGUGUGUGAGAGUCAAGCAUAAUACACUGCUAAAGAGACGUUGAAGAACAUGCAAGAAAAUGGUGCAGAGUGAAAGUGAAGAUUGGCUGUCUAGAAAAUCUACCCUGAAGGAGUGAAGCAUGAGAGAAGUGAUGGACUGAAUGUGCAUGAUGUGGAGAAGCAAGGCUGCUCCCUGUGGGCUAUGCGGCUAAAUCUAGUGAGCUGGAGUGUGACCAGUGUAUGAAAGGAGAAACUACAUGUUUGUGUGGUCAAGGGAUCAUCGAGCUGUAGAGGGGCAGAGAAGAGUUUAGGUCUAGUACUAAUAGAGCAUGAAUGAAUACAGAAGAGGCCGGGCCACUGUGAAAAAAGAAAAUGUGUGAGAAAAUGGGAGAUUGUUGGUAUGAAAGUUUAAGACAAUGAGAGUUGAGUGGCUAAAGAGAAAGAGAGAAGAGUGGAGUGAGAAAUCCUGAUGGGGUGAAUGUGAGAAUGUGACACACAGAGACCAGAAAGACAGGAGUGAAAGGAGAGACCCAACCUCUGAUACUUGAAGGAAUGGUCAAAUUUCAAAAAGAAAAAGGAGUGAAUGGUAUGCAAGGAGAAAUGACUGAAUUUGAGAGCACCAAAGAAAGGAAGAGUGACUGCUGAGAAUGAAUGAAAGAGAAAUAUUUGGAGAGGGACAGUGAGGGAAGGAGAAAUGAAUGAGAGGACAAGUCAACAGAGUGAUCUAAGUUUUAGAAAAAGAGAUAUGUCAGCAGGGAACAUAAUGGAUCUGAAGACUGAACGAGAUAGACUGUGUUGAUAUUCAGGUAGCAAAAACCAAACUACUAGUACAAGAGGACCCAAAGAUGAAAGAGUUGGAAAAAUGAGGAAAGAGGCAAAGGCAGUGAGAGUUAUAUGAAAUGGAGAUGUAGUGAAUGAAAGAUUUGUAGCUGCAGAUCAUGACACAAUGAAGUGGUUUGGAAAGCCCAAAAAGUGAAGUAGAGAAAGUGGAGAAAUAGAGAUAGCUGGGCAUGUGACAAGAAGCUGGUGCUGAAGGUUUAAUAAACAAU